ensembl:lincRNA
UAUCUGCCUUCUGAUCCAGGCCUUGACGAUUUACUCGAUUUCCUCUACAAAAUCACAAGUACCGUCCAGACUACACUCGUUUCAUCAUCCAGUGCGUCCCGUGUCAAAUGGGCUUGAGUGCCAACGGGGCUGGCCGGCAGGGGGCAGCCCUAAUGGCCUCCCAAUCUCUACAGGUGGUUGACCAAGGAGGGCGCCGGAAGGCGAGACCAAGCAGCCACCGAGGGUGGGGGUGGAAUAACUGGGUGACAGGUGUGUUGUGAGGUGGUCAGGGGCGGAGCAACAGCCAGGGAGCCUUGGGAGGGAUCAAACGAGGGCCCCAGAAGGGAGGCGGUGUACACAGAGGUGACCGGAUCAGGAGACAAAGGGGUGGCCAGGAAGAGGGCAAGCCAGCGGCACCCGAUUGGAAGAUCAAGGCCAACGGUUAUGGGGGCGGGACCAAAUGAGCACAAUGGGACAGCCGGCCACUGGGCGGGGCCAAAGGCCUCGGAGACUCGACCAAGUGGAAGAGUUCGGGGCUGAGACCGCCAAGUGCGCAGGAGGCCGCGGAGCUUGGGCUGGGGUGGCGGAGCCCGGUCAUUCUAAUAUUUUGGAGGACUUACGCGUCUCAAAAAAAUACUCCCCCUACGUCUCCUCUUCUGACUUUGACUACAUCUCAUUGUAAGUUCAGAGUAGUUUAUGAUAAAUUGAAACAAUAGUCAUUGCGGAAAAUGAUUGUUAACUAUCCUGUCAAGUAGGAAAUGUAACUGCUUUUCCAUUUUUUUCAUCGUGUUAUUACCAGGAACAACAUAAAUUUAAAUUUAAAAUCCCCUUCAUUUUAAUGCAGUUUUUAAUGAGUGAUUUGAUUUCGUACGUGUUUAUAUAUUGAGACGACUGCUUAAAAUACUGUACUUAAUAAAGGAAACUGCGUAUGCAGCACGUUCAGUGUUGUAUCUUUGAACAGUUUAGUCAAAUGGACAUUUAAAAUGGAACUUCUUUAAACUAACAGGAUAAGCUGCAAUGCCCUGUUAAACUGUUUUAAAUGUUUCCCUCUUCCUUUUUGUCAAUAAAGUUGUAAAUAAAGACCAUCAUACAUUAAAAAAAAAUUGUAAAUCAAGCCAGGUGGACGACUUUUGAGGCUCUUCUGAGAUUGAAUGGGAGUGAAUCCUGUUAAAAUCAGUUAGCCAGCAUCUCCUUCUUGUUGUUGUUCUGGUUUUGACACAAGGGUAACUUUAAAGCAAAGAACUGCACAUAAUAUUAAAGGACAUUUUAAAAAUCUCAUCAUCUCCUCCUAACUUGUAUCUUCAUUGAGAAAGUGUUUUAAUUAUUAUACUUUUGUUUAAAUAUCUGCUAGAUCUAAACAUCCCAUUUCUUUUUUUCCCUCAGCAUCUUCCAGCUAUUGUUUUUGUUUUUGAUUUUUCCCCAUGUGAACUUUAGCUUUGUUUUUUAAAUCCUGCUGAAAAAUUUCACUGGGUUGACCUUACAUUUUUAAUUUCACUUAGGAGGCCUGACAGCUUUAUGAUGUUGAUUGCUUCUGUUCAAGAACUUGGUAUAUCUUUCCAUUCAAAUCUUACACGCUAACUUUAUUCCUGGUGAUGUGUUAAGAUUGAAACCUCAUGAGGAAAUUGAGGCUGACCUUUUUUAGCCACGCCAACGUUUUGCAUCCCAAAUGGAAGUUCCCUGUUUAGGACAGCACAGAAGCUGGAAAGCCUGCAAGCAAGGGAUCUGCCCAUAUGGCCUUGAGCCUCUUUCACAUCAUGCUUUUUGUUGGAAAUUCCUAAUGCCAGCAGUAGUUCCCAAAUUGCAUCUCUAGGCAGCAGCUAAAGAAGAAAGCAUUGCUCCCUUCUAACAAAGAGAUUCAAUUUUAAGUCCUGCUAGAGGCUGUCUUUGUGGGACAGGUAUACCAUCUAGUGACAUAUACACUCACUGACUACUCCCAAUGCUGUUUUGCUCCCCAGUUGCCUUUACCUACUGAUUCUGAGACUAGCUUUUAGUUAAUGUUUGCUAAGGUUUGAUUGUAGUUCCUUCUGGUUUUCAGAUUCUAAGCCCAUUCUCUCUGUGGCAGUCUGCAAUUAUAAAUCCCGAAGAGAGAGAGAUUGUAAACUAAUCUAUUCGUCUGGGUGUGAUACCCUUCAAUUGCAUUAAAUUCAGCAGGGGCUUUCAAUU